rnacentral:rRNA from 1 species
UACGUAGGUGGCAAGCGUUGUCCGGAAUUACUGGGCGUAAAGGAUGCGUAGGCGGUGAUUUAAGUGGGAUGUGAAAUACCUGGGCUCAACCUAGGAAUGGCAUUCCAAACUGGAUCGCUAGAGUGCAGGAGAGGAAAGUGGAAUUCCCAGUGUAGCGGUGAAAUGCGUAGAGAUUGGGAGGAACACCAGUGGCGAAGGCGACUUUCUGGACUGUAACUGACGCUGAGGCAUGAAAGUGUGGGGAGCAAACAGG